CUACGGGGGGCAGCAGUGAGGAAUAUUGCACAAUGGGGGGAACCCUGAUGCAGCAACGCCGCGUGGAGGAUGACGCAUUUCGGUGUGUAAACUCCUUUUAUAUGUCAAGAAAAUGACGGUAGCAUAUGAAUAAGCGCCGGCUAACUCCGUGCCAGCAGCCGCGGUAAUACGGAGGGGGCAAGCGUUACUCGGAAUCACUGGGCGUAAAGGACGCGUAGGCGGGUUGAAAAGUCAGGUGUGAAAGCCUACAGCUUAACUGUAGAACUGCACUUGAAACUCUCAACCUAGAGUAUGGGAGGGGGAGAUGGAAUUAGUGGUGUAGGGGUAAAAUCCGUAGAUAUCACUAGGAAUACCUAAAGCGAAGGCGAUCUCCUGGAACAUUACUGACGCUAAGGCGUGAAAGCGUGGGGAGCAAACAGGAUUAGAUACCCCCGUAGUC
rnacentral:rRNA from 1 species